GGGGGCGGUUCCUUCGAGCCAGUAUUUUUAUCAUAGUGUGAGUGGGCUGGGCGUCACCGGCUCAAGAAAGAAGACAGACCCUGUCUUGUUGUUUGCACAGAUAACGCUUCCUGCUUCGCGCGUUUCAAGGUGUGUUCCAAGCUGGGACGAUAGCACAAGCCGCGUGAUCGCGUUCAGACAACAUCGCUUCGCCGGUUCACUGCUAGGAGCAUCGGCAGACGUGGGCUGUGCCGCGAGAAAGCCUUUCUGCUGGACGGAAGCGGCAUUUCUACAAAACAGCAGCGGUGGAGGCCAUGGAUGUGUUUGACGGAGCCUACUUUUGCUGCCUUACAGGUUCUUGCACGGCGGCAACACGGCGAUUUGAGAACUACGAGGCUUUCAGCGCAUCCCUUGAUAUGAAGCCCUUUUUUGCUUCGAGCUUGAACCUGGAUGGGUUGUUUCUCAGCACGGCUGCUAGGGGAUACAAGGCACAACACUGGCUGGGGUACUUGCCAAGGAAUGCUUACGCAUUAAACAAUCAAAGCUGAAAACGCUUUCGAAAGCAAGAAGAUGUCGAAUGGUCAGCCAUUGCACAUGUAGCAGACGACAUCACUGCGAAUGGAGCCAAAGAUAUCACGAAGUAAGCCCACCCAUCACUGCGAACGGAGCCAAGGAAACGAACAUCGCGCCUACUUCCCACCUUGAGAAACAACCGUUGUUUCUGCGGUUGGAUGUGGGAUAUAGGUCUAAAUUCUCUAAAUUCUGCAAAAAUAAAGAAUAACUCAACAAACGGGCAGUGUUACGGUUCAAUCACGCGUAUGUAUUUUAAUGGAACACGAUA